rnacentral:rRNA from 1 species
GUCCAUGGCCAUGCCACCCUGAACAAGCCCGAUCCCAUCUGAUUUCGUAAGCUAAGCAGGGUCGGGCCUGGUUAGUACUUGGAUGGGAGACCACCUAGGAAGACCAGGUGCUGUAGGUG